GCAGGUGAUGAUUAGUAUGUCGCCCCAGUCUUAUUUAAAUAGAUGAUGAUUGACUAUUAUUAUCUGAUGC